rnacentral:tRNA from 1 species
AAUAAGAUGCCUGAUAAAAAGGACUAUCUUGAUAGGAUAGAUUAUGUAAAAUUUACUCUUAUUA